GAAUAUGGUGUAUCUUUUUGUUUUGUAGUAUUCCUCAUUCCAGUCCAGAUGCUGUGCAGGACACUGCUACGCUCACUACUCCACCGUCUCCAGUCCCAGUGAGAAGACCUUCGAUAAGAUCCUCAUUGCCAACAGAGGAGAGAUUGCUUGCAGGGUGAUCAAGACAUGUCGCAAGAUGGGCAUCCAGACUGUAGCUGUCCACAGCGACGUGGACUCCAGUGCUGUUCAUGUAAAGAUGGCUGAUGAAGCGUUGUGUGUUGGCCCCGCCCCCACCAACAAGAGCUACCUCAACAUGGACGCUAUCAUGGAGGCCGUCAGAGCGACUGGAGCACAAGCUGUUCAUCCUGGCUACGGGUUUCUGUCUGAAAACAAAGAGUUUGCAAAGCGACUGGUGAGUAAUGA